rnacentral:rRNA from 1 species
UACGAGGGGGGCAAGCGUUGUUCGGAAUUAUUGGGCGUAAAGGGUGCGUAGGCGGUCUGACAAGUCUGAUGUGAAAUCUAUGGGCUCAACCCAUAGUCUGCAUCGGAAACUGUCGGGCUUGAGUAUGGGAGAGGUGAGUGGAAUUUCCGGUGUAGCGGUGAAAUGCGUAGAUAUCUGGAAGAACACCAAUGGCGAAGGCAAUGUUCUGGCUCGUUUCUGACGCUCAGGUGCGAAAGCCAGGGGAGCGAACGGGG